rnacentral:rRNA from 1 species
UGGCGGCGUGCCUAACACAUGCAAGUCGAGCGGGGACAUGCGACGGAUCGGAAGUUUCGGAUGGAAGAGAAGAUGUAUGUUCUAGCGGCGGACGGGUGAGUAACGCGUGAACAAUCUGUCCUUCACAGGGGGAUAACACAGCGAAAGUUGUACUAAUACCGCAUGAGACCACGUCGGGGCAUCCCGAAGGGGUCAAAGGAGCAAUCCGGUGAAGGGUGAGUUCGCGUCCGAUUAGAUAGUUGGUGAGGUAACGGCCCACCAAGUCGACGAUCGGUAGCCGACCUGAGAGGGUGAUCGGCCACAUUGGGACUGAGACACGGCCCAAACUCCUACGGGAGGCAGCAGUGGGGAAUAUUGGGCAAUGGGGGAAACCCUGACCCAGCAACGCCGCGUGAGGGAAGAAGGUUUUCGGAUCGUAAACCUCUGUCCUUGGUGAAGAGAUAGAGACGGUAGCCAAGGAGGAAGCCCCGGCUAACUACGUGCCAGCCGCUGC